AGUGGUUCGCCGGCCGCUGUGGCCGAGCGGUUCUAGGCACUUCAGUCUGGAGCCGCGCGACUGCUACAGUCGCAGGUUCGAAUCCUGCCUCGGGCGUAGAUGAGUGUGAUGUCCUUAGGUCUCUGGCACAGAGAGGACGAGGAAAGCGGAGGUCCACAUUUAACACAAACAACAAUAUGCCUACAUGGGAUGAACAUUACUGCUACUUCUUCCUGGGAGAAGCUUUUACACAGCGAUUAUGAACGGGCACUUCGAAAACCAAACAGCAUGUUCAACCCACAGAUCGAAUGUUUCUUCCUAGCAACCCUAGAAGAGGAUGCAGCCUGGACCCCAUCACCUAUAUAUAAGAAUCCAGCCUCACUUAGUUUUUCAGGGCUCUGCUUAAUAACUAACAGCCAGCCUUUGAAGAAAGCUAACCUCGCUCAUAUGUUGUAUUUUUAGGAUGGCCUAUCCCAAUGCCUCACACAUCAAAUAUUGAACUACAGUGAAUUACUGAAUCAGGGAUUGAAUGUGGUCAUAUCUCCAUUCUAAAUGCACCCACAAUAAAUGGAGAAAACUUUAUAAUAAUGCUUGAGCCAUGAUACAUCUUUUAAAAUAAAUAAUGCAACUAGCUCUACCAUCACCUUUUUUUGGUUGCUAUAUCACUCCCCUGAGUU